GAUGAACGCUGGCGGCGUGCCUAAUACAUGCAAGUCGAGCGAACGGACGAGAAGCUUGCUUUUCUGAUGUUAGCGGCGGACGGGUGAGUAACACGUGGAUAACCUACCUAUAAGACUGGGAUAACUUCGGGAAACCGGAGCUAAUACCGGAUAAUAUUUUGAACCGCAUGGUUCAUAAGUGUAAGACGGUCUUGCUGUCACUUAUAGAUGGAUCCGCGCUGCAUUAGCUAGUUGGUAAGGUAACGGCUUACCAAGGCAACGAUGCAUAGCCGACCUGAGAGGGUGAUCGGCCACACUGGAACUGAGACACGGUCCAGACUCCUACGGGAGGCAGCAGUAGGGAAUCUUCCGCAAUGGGCGAAAGCCUGACGGAGCAACGCCGCGUGAGUGAUGAAGGUCUUCGGAUCGUAAAACUCUGUUAUUAGGGAAGAACAUAUGUGUAAGUAACUGUGCACAUCUUGACGGUACCUAAUCAGAAAGCCACGGCUAACUACGUG
rnacentral:rRNA from 1 species